rnacentral:rRNA from 1 species
GACGGAGGAUGCAAGCGUUAUCCGGAAUGACUGGGCGUAAAGCGUUCGCAGGUGGCUGUUCAAGUCUGCUGUCAAAGACCGGGGCUUAACCCUAGAAAGGCAGUGGAAACUGAACGGCUGGAGUGCAGUAGGGGUAGAGGGAAGUCCCAGUGUAGCGGUGAAAUGCGUAGAGAUUGGGAAGAACACCGGUGGCGAAAGCGCUCUGCUGGCCUGCAACUGACACUGAGGGACGAAAGCUAGGGGAGCGAAAGGG